AUGGUAUACCGUGGUCAGGGCCAGAAAGUGCAAAAAGCUAUGAUGGAGCCCAUCAACCUCACCUACAGAUUCUUACAAAAUAGAUCCCAGAUUCAGGUAUGGCUCUAUAAGCAGAGAAUAUGUGGAUAGAAGGCUGUAUCAUUGGUUUUGAUGAGUAUAUGAACCUUGUAUUAGUUGAUGCAGAAGAGAUUUAUUCUAAAACAGAGUUAAAACAACUGGGUUGGAUCAUGCUAAAAGGAGAUAAUAUUACUCGGGUACAUAGUGUCUCCAACUA
rnacentral:lncRNA from 1 species